UACGUAGGGUGCGAGCGUUAAUCGGAAUACUGGGCGUAAAGCGUGCGCAGGCGGUCUGUUAAGACCCGAUGUGAAAUCCCCCGGGCUUAACCUGGGAACUGCAUUGGUGACUGGCAGGCUUUGAGUGUGGCAGAGGGAGGUAGAAUUCCACGUGUAAGCAGUGAAAUCGUAGAGAAUGUGGGAGGAAUACCAUGCGAAGGCACCUCCUGGGCCAA
rnacentral:rRNA from 1 species